rnacentral:rRNA from 1 species
UACGUAGGGGGCAAGCGUUGUCCGGAAUUACUGGGCGUAAAGAGCUCGUAGGUGGUUUGUCGCGUUGUUCGUGAAAACCUGAGGCUUAACCUUGGGCGUGCGGGCGAUACGGGCAGACUAGAGGUAUGCAGGGGAGAACGGAAUUCCUGGUGUAGCGGUGAAAUGCGCAGAUAUCAGGAGGAACACCGGUGGCGAAGGCGGUUCUCUGGGCAUUACCUGACGCUGAGGAGCGAAAGUGUGGGGAGCGAACAGG